rnacentral:rRNA from 1 species
AUUGAACGCUGGCGGCAGGCCUAACACAUGCAAGUCGAGCGGAGCGGCGGACGGGUGAGUGAUGCCUAGGAAUCUGCCUGGGGGUGGGGGAUACCGUCCGGGAACGGGAGCUAAUGCCGCAUACUAUCAGAUGAGCCUAGGUCGGAUUAGCUAGUUGGUGGGGGAAAGGCCUACCAAGGCGACGAUCCGUAGCUGGUCUGAGAGGAUGAUCAGUCACACUGGAACUGAGACACGGUCCAGACUCCUACGGGAGGCAGCAGUGGGGAAUAUUGGACAAUGGGCGAAAGCCUGAUCCAGCCAUGCCGCGUGUGUGAAGAAGGUCUUCGGAUUGUAAAGCACUUUAAGUUGGGAGGCGUUACCUACAGAAUAAGCACCGGCUAACUUCGUGCCAGCAGCCGCGGUAAUAC